GGAGAGGUGGCUCAGAGGUUAUGAGCACUGGAUGCUUUUCUGGAGGUCCUGGGUUCAAUUCCCAGCAACUACA
rnacentral:tRNA from 1 species